rnacentral:rRNA from 1 species
UGGGGAAUAUUGGACAAUGGGGGAAACCCUGAUCCAGCAAUGCCGCGUGAGUGAAGAAGGCCUUAGGGUUGUAAAACUCUUUCAUCAAUGAAGAUAAUGACAUUAAUUGAAGAAGAAGCUCCGGCUAACUCCGUGCCAGCAGCCGCGGUAAUACGGAGGGGGCUAGCGUUGUUCGGAAUUACUGGGCGUAAAGCGUAUGUAGGCGGAUCAAAAAGUUAGAUGUGAAAUCCCUGGGCUUAACCCAGGAACUGCAUUUAAAACUAGAGAUCUAGAAUUUGGUAGAGGAUAGUAGAAUUUCCAGUGUAGAGGUGAAAUUCGUAGAUAUUGGAAAGAAUACCAGUGGCGAAGGCGACUAUCUGGGCCAUUUUUGACGCUGAGAUACGAAAGCGUGGGUAGCAAACAGG